GAAGUAUUUGUGGAAUGAAAAAGACUUCUAAUCUAUUUUCAAAGCGGUUCAACUCCGUUUAUACAUCU
rnacentral:tRNA from 1 species